rnacentral:rRNA from 1 species
GAUGAACGCUGGCGGCGUGCCUAAUACAUGCAAGUCGAACGCUGGAGAUCUAGCUUGCUAGAUCGAAGGAGUGGCGAACGGGUGAGUAAUACAUAAGCAACCUACCCACGAAGACUGGGAUAAUCUCUGGAAACGGGGACUAAUACCGGAUAGGUAAUCGGAAGGCAUCUUCUGGUUAUUAAAGGUUAAAAACACUGGUGGAUGGGCUUAUGGCGCAUUAGUUAGUUGGUGAGAUAACGGCCCACCAAGACGAUGAUGCGUAGCCGGCCUGAGAGGGUGAACGGCCACAUUGGGACUGAGACACGGCCCAGACUCCUACGGGAGGCAGCAGUAGGGAAUUUUCGGCAAUGGGGGCAACCCUGACCGAGCAACGCCGCGUGAGUGAAGACGGCCUUCGGGUUGUAAAGCUCUGUUGUAAGGGAAGAACGGUAGAUAGAGAAUAUCUAAGUGACGGUACCUUACCAGAAAGCCACGGCUAACUACGUG